AACGAAGGCUGGCGGCAGGCUUAACACAUGCAAGUCGAGCGCCCCGCAAGGGGAGCGGCAGACGGGUGAGUAACGCGUGGGAACGUACCUUUUGGUUCGGAACAACUCCGGGAAACUGGAGCUAAUACCGGAUAAGCCCUAACGGGGAAAGAUUUAUCGCCGAAGGAUCGGCCCGCGUCUGAUUAGCUAGUUGGUGAGGUAACGGCUCACCAAGGCGACAAUCAGUAGCUGGUCUGAGAGGAUGAUCAGCCACACUGGGACUGAGACACGGCCCAGACUCGUACGGGAGGAAGCAGUGGGGAAUAUUGGACAAUGGGCGCAAGCCUGAUCCUGCCAUGCCGGGUAAAUGAUGAAGGCCUUAGGGUUGUAAAGCUCUUUUGUCCGGGAAGAUAAUGACGGUACCGGAAGAAUAAGCCCCGGCUAACUUCGUG
rnacentral:rRNA from 1 species